UCUACCACUGGUUGCCAACCGUUUCUCAUUCCUUCAUUUUUGCUCACUUCGUCAUCUUCCACUGGCAGCAGACAACCCCUUUCUCUAAACCCUCUCUCCAUUGCUCAGUCCCUGGCGCCGUCGCCUUGUUGGCCUAAGCAUUUCCUGCAGCGGCUCCGUCUUUCUUUCCCUUUUCUAGUUUCUUCUCUUCCCCUUCCUUCUGCCGCCAGUUUCCUCUCUAUCUAAAAAAGCCGAGCCACCGUUCUCCUCCUCCAAUUUGAGUUUUCUUUUAGAAGUCCUGUCACAAAUUUAAAACCCCAUUUAAAACCUCUUUCUUGAAAGCUGGGCGUGGGCACCCUUCAAGAGCACUCUUCAUUACCUCUAUGGGGUAUCUAUGUGUAGGAUAGUUUCCGUAACUACUCGUCAACCCGAAUACCUGAAAGCUCAGGAAAGAUUGGGUAAGCAGCUGAAAUGAGUCAACCACUCCCUGCACAGGAACAGAGACCUCCAUCAUCUCUUCUCAAGUAUCUUUAUGCCGCUCACUUUCUUGCGAGAUGGGGUGCCAGGAUGUGGGAAUUCUCUGUCGGUUUAUACAUGAUCAGUGUUUGGCCAGACUCUUUACUCCUUGCUGCUAUUUACGGUGCUGUGGAAUCUGCUUCUACAGCAUUAUUUGGUCCCAUCAUUGGACGAUGGGUGGAUAGGCUCACAUAUGUAAAGGUUCUUAAACUUUGGUUAGUAACCCAGAAUCUGUCCUUCAUAAUUGCUGGAUGUGCAGUAAUGGCCUUACUGGUAUUUUCAAGCCUGAAGGUCACAAAUCUUGUAGCAUUCAUCUCCCUGGUGAUAUUGACCAACAUCUCUGGAGCUGUUGGUGUGCUUUCAACUCUAGCCGGUACCAUCCUGAUCGAAAGAGAAUGGGUGGUGGUAAUAUCAGAAGGCCAUCCUCCAGCUUUACUGACUGAGAUGAAUUCUGUUAUCAGACGAAUUGAUUUAACCUGCAAGCUAGUUGCACCAGUUAUAACUGGCUUCAUUAUCAGCUUUGUAUCACUAAAAGCAUCUGCUAUGACCUUAGCACUGUGGACGACUAUAACUGUUUGGGUGGAAUAUUGGCUUUUUAUGUCUGUGUAUAGCGGGAUCCCAGCUUUAGGUGAAAGCAGCCUAAGGAGGAUUUCAGAAGUUUCACCAAGUGAUGUUGUGGAAGAAAGCACUUCGGCUUCUCAGGAUGUUGUGGAAGAAAGCACAUCGGCUUCUCGGGAAAUACCUGAUUCACUUUCCAAUGACGGAGAGAAUUCAGCAGCCGCAAGAAAGAACUCUUGGAGUAAAUUUAUCGAGUGGGUCUCUAAGGUUCCUUACAUUGAUGCAUGGAGAGUAUAUCUGCAGCAAGAUGUUGUUCUACCUGGAGUUGCUUUAGCUUUGUUGUAUUUCACUGUCCUAAGCUUUGGGACUUUGAUGACGGCAACCUUGCAAUGGGAAGGCAUACCUGCAUUUGUAAUUGGAAUAGCACGUGGCAUUAGUGCUUCAAUUGGAAUCGCUGCAACAGUUGUGUAUCCCAUGCUACAAUCUCGUAUUUUAACACUCAGAACAGGACUCUGGUCUGUCUGGUCUCAGUGGAUUUGCCUGCUGCUAUGUGUGGCUUCAAUCUGGGUCAAAAACAGCCAUUUAUCAGCAUACAUGCUGAUGGGUGGAGUUGCAACAUCUCGUCUUGGUUUGUGGAUGUUCGACUUAUCCGUCAUCCAACAAAUGCAGGUAGAAGAACACAACUAAUCACAAACUGGAUCUUGUUCCUGAAUCUAAUCGUUGCAUUGUGGGGGGUGUUCAGAGCUCACUUCAGUCUACCUUGGAUUUUAUGGGUUAUGUCAUGGGAAUACUAAUCUCAAAUCCACGGGAUUUCUGGAAGUUGAGUAUGAUGUCCUUCUGUGCGGUGACAUUGGCUGCAUUUCUCUACACUUUCCAUCUAUACCGAAUUCGGAAACACCUUUUCCACUUGGAGAAGCUGUUAUCACUUGUUCAGUGAUUGUAAGAUGAUAUGGCCUGCCUGAUUGUUUCUUUCUUUGAUGUUUGUGAUCUGAAUGUGGAAAUCUAUCUAUAUGGUCGGUGGCGGAGCCUGUUUUUCGCGUUUCAGACCAAGAUUAUUAUUAUGAAACAGUCAUACUA